GACAAACGGGCACUCGCUGCUGAAUGCACUGGAAGGAACGCGUGCGAAAAACAGACCAACAGGUAAUCGGAACGUUCCAGAUGCAUUC